rnacentral:rRNA from 1 species
AGCAGCCGCGGUAAUUCCAGCUCCAAUAGCGUAUAUUAAAGUUGUUGCAGUUAAAAAGCUCGUAGUUGAAUUUCGGGGUCAGCAGGUUGGUCGUGCCACUGGUAUGCACUGGUUUCGCUGAUUCCUCCUUUCUGAAGAACUGUAAUGCCAUUAAUUUGGUGUUGCAGGGAAACAGGACUUGUUACUUUGAAAAAAUUAGAGUGUUUAAAGCAGGCUAACGCUUGAAUACAUUAACAUGGAAUAAUGAAAAGGACGUUUGAUCAACCUAUUUUGUUGGUUUCUAGAUUGACGUAAUGAUUAAUAGGGAUAGUUGGGGGCAUUAGUAUUCAAUUGUCAGAGGUGAAAUUCUUGGAUUUAUUGAAGACUAACUACUGCGAAAGCAUUUGCCAAGAAUGUUUUCAUUAAUCAAGAACGAAAGUUAGGGGAUCGAAGACGAUCAGAUACCGUCGUAGUCUUAACCAUAAACUAUGCCGACUAGGGAUCGGAUGAUGUUAAUUUUGAUGACUCAUUCGGCACCUUA